rnacentral:tmRNA from 1 species
GGGGGUGAACUGGUUUCGACGGGGGUUGCAAAGCAGCGCGGGGCAUGCCGAGGCGCUUGUCCUCGUUAAACUCGAGCAAUCGCAAAUCUAACUGCGAACGACGAAACGUACGCUCUGGCGGCUUAACCCCGCCGGACCUCGCACCGGGCGGCGCUCAGCCGUGGCGCUAAAGCAAGGCGGCUGGUUUGCCCGCAGCCCGUCCGUCGGCGGUGGGGGAACGAGAUCCAAAUGGCGCGACUAAGCAUGUAGUCCCGACUGUGGAGUGCUUCCGGACGCGAGUUCGAUUCUCGCCACCUCCACCA